UGUAGCUGAAGUCUGGGUUAGUGGGACA
rnacentral:piRNA from 1 species